GUUUUGAAUUUCUUGUUAAAUAAAUCUUUACUUGGCGUUCCAGUCUCAUUUCUUGUUUGUUUUCUUUAUGGAAGGAAAUGAAAUCCCCUGGGAAUUGACUCUGUUUCAGCUUUAAUUCGCGUCGAGAUCAUGAGUUACAUUUCCUCCUCUAAUCCUAUUUUCUCUUGCAUUAUCACUCUCUACACUCUAAUUCUCCUCUACUUCCCUCAAGCUCUCAAAAUCUUUCUUUCCCCAGUUUUGAUCGUCACUGCUCUUCUCAUACUCUUUCUCCUCCAUCUAGGCUCCAUCCAGAGUCGAAACCCAGAGAAAAAUGAGAACGAAGAGAAUAUUGAAAGAAAGGAAAACAGGGACGGAAAUUUCGUUGAAGCAGAAAAGUUUGGUUUUUUGGCCAAAGUGGACAAAUGGGUUUCAUUCCAAGAUGAAACAGGUCCUUACCCGAAUCCAAAACCUGAUUUUGAAGAGUCGUUUGUUGAAUGGGACGUGAGAGCUCCAUUGGAGGUCAUAUUUGAAGCGCACGAAGGAGAGGAUGAUAAUGAGAAGCACCAGGAUUCUGAUGAUCAUACCCGGAGUGCAGCUUUGCAGAGGUGCCCAUCUUUGUCAAUGUACUACCCAGAAACGGACUCGGAAACCUCUUCUGACGGCGGGUAUUCGGUGAACGGAGAAUGGGAUUCGCCGGAGAGCGUUUGCUUUAGAUGGGAAGACGAAGAUAGAGCAGGCCUGUUGAUAGAGAUAUCUCUUGAUAGCGAUGACAAUAAGUUUUCGGGUUCGGGUUUAUGUUUUGAUUUUCAGGUUGAAGAAGAUAAUUUAAUAGAGAUUGAUCUAUCUCCACCCAAAAACGAUGUGUUUUCUGGUGAGGUGUAAUUAGGCGAGGAAUAAAAGCCGUUUGAUCAUUAAAGUACGGCC
rnacentral:misc_RNA from 1 species